rnacentral:rRNA from 1 species
CACGUAGGGCGCAAGCGUUGUCCGGAAUUAUUGGGCGUAAAGAGCUCGUAGGCGGUCUGUUGCGUCCGCUGUGAAAACUCGGGGCUCAACCCUGAGACGUCGGUUGAAACCAUCUGGCUAGAGUCCGGAAGAGGCGAGUGGAAUUCCUGGUGUAGCGGUGAAAAUGCGCAGAUAUCAGGAGGAACACCAAUUGCGAAGGGCAGCUCGCUGGGACGUUACUGACGCUGAGACGCGAAAGCGUGGGGAGCAAACAGG